GAAAUGAAGUAUAUGUGAAAUUCAAGAAACAAUCUCUGAUCAACAUAUACAAUUGAGCUCAUCCAGCACCUCGAUGUGAAUGUAAGUUAAUACACAGGUCUAACAACUGACUGCUUUCUAUGCAUACGCCACAGAAAAAAGCUAUGUAUUAACACAAACUAAACAUAAUUCACUAUCCUACUACACAAGAAGGAAAAAGCACAAAAAUUUGAAAAAGUAUACGACUACAGCUGAUUGUCAAGGAAUCUGUUCUGUUUUACUCAUAAGUUGCAGUAUAGAUUAAUAAAACUGUUGUUUCUUCAUAUUUUUAUUGUGGUUGAAAUUUAUUUUCCAUGAAAUAAAUUAUGUUGGAAACAUAGUUGUUUGGGAAAGUUUUUUAAUCCAUCCACAUCUUUAAUUCCCACGCUAAGGAUAGUCGAACUUUAGGAAAUUGAAUUUGGAAAAUGGUGACAUUUUACGACAAUAGCAACCUGGGUCUGAGGAAGGUAAAGUGUACGCAGUCUAUACCACUACCCCAAGUAAAGUAGAGAAACUGUUUCCGAUAUACCCGACUCAGAACAGAUAACAGUAUAUAAACAAAAAUAUAAAAACAAACAAGAAAAGGGACAACGCACCGCUAGAUAAUAAAAGAAACAAGACACCCGCAGCGUAAUACUAUAACCAGCCAAGUUAUCCCACCAAAAUGAACUAUCUCCAUCUCCAAUUCUCAAAAGAAUAAAUUCUUCAACAACCUCAUCUUUCUUUCCUGCUAUUUGUACACCAUUUUGUUGACACAUUGUUUUUACAAGUUCAUAAUAGGUAAAAAGAACAAUGUAUAUAUUUUCACAAACUAAACAUAAUUUACUUGAAGGGGAGCCUUGGAGUAAGCGGUACAGUUGACUCCAUGUGGCCGGGGAGGUCUUGGGUUCAAGCCGUGGAAACAGCCUCUUGCAGAAAUGCAAAGUAAGGGAGUGACUUGUAUUUGUACGGAUAUGAUCUUGUUGAAAAACAUGGUUCCAAUCGAAAUGUCUCAAAAGGAAACUAUGGACAAUUCCAUCCAGUGCUUGGUGGGAUGAAAGUGAUGAUCCUACAGAGCCUAUUCUGGUUGACUUCUGUAAUGGGAAGUUUCUAGUGAUUGUUCAAAAAAAUGCUGUAGAAAGAUUCUUUAAAUGUGUCUGUGGAGUCACUUCAUACUUUACUCAUUGGUGAUCCUUCAUUUGGACUCGAGCAUGGGAUCGUGAAUGAUCAAAGUGAAUCCAAUAAUAAAUAAUCGAAGUAGAAAACAAGACGAGAUGAAAUGAAGUAUAUGUGAAAUUCAAGAAACAAUCUCUGAUCAACAUAUACAAUUGAGCUCAUCCAGCACCUCGAUGUGAAUGUAAGUUAAUACACAGGUCUAACAACUGACUGCUUUCUAUGCAUACGCCACAGAAAAAAGCUAUGUAUUAACACAAACUAAACAUAAUUCACUAUCCUACUACACAAGAAGGAAAAAGCACAAAAAUUUGAAAAAGUAUACGACUACAGCUGAUUGUCAAGGAAUCUGUUCUGUUUUACUCAUAAGUUGCAGUAUAGAUUUAGCUUUUCUUUGGCCCC
rnacentral:lncRNA from 1 species